AUACUUACCUGGCGUAGGAAUACCGUGAUCAUGCAGGCGGUUUCCCCAGGGUGAGGCUGCUCCAUUGCACUGCGGAGUGUAUGACCCUUGCGAUUAUUCUUAUUUUUUAUAAGUUUCACUUCUACCGUGUGUGACUUGCACACACACACA
rnacentral:snRNA from 9 species